rnacentral:rRNA from 1 species
UACGUAGGGUGCGAGCGUUAAUCGGAAUUACUGGGCGUAAAGCGUGCGCAGGCGGUGCUGUAAGACCGAUGUGAAAUCCCCGGGCUUAACCUGGGAACUGCAUUGGUGACUGCAGCGCUGGAGUAUGGCAGAGGGGGGUGGAAUUCCACGUGUAGCAGUGAAAUGCGUAGAGAUGUGGAGGAACACCGAUGGCGAAGGGCAGCCCCCUGGGCCAAUGACUGACGCCUCGAUGCACGAAAGCGUGGGGAGCGAAACAGG